rnacentral:rRNA from 1 species
UAGGGAAUCUUCCGCAAUGGACGCAAGUCUGACGGAGCAACGCCGCGUGAGUGAAGAAGGAUUUCGGUUCGUAAAACUCUGUUGUUAGAGAAGAACAGCGCAUAGAGUAACUGUUAUGCGUGUGACGGUAUCUAACCAGAAAGCCACGGCUAACUACGUGCCAGCAGCCGCGGUAAUACGUAGGUGGCAAGCGUUGUCCGGAUUUAUUGGGCGUAAAGCGAGCGCAGGCGGUCAAUUAAGUCUGAUGUGAAAGCCCCCGGCUCAACCGGGGAGGGGCAUUGAAAACUGUUUAACUUGGGUGCAGAAGGGGAGGGUGGAAUUCCAUGUGUAGCGGUGAAAUGCGUAGAUAUAUGGAGAAACACCAGUGGCGAAGGCGACUCGCUGGACUGUAACUGACGCUGAGGCUCGAAAGCGUGGGUAGCAAACAGG